UCCCAUCUGUUAUAUUUCGGGUGUACAACACAGUGAUUCAACACUUCCAUACAUCACCUGGUGCUCAUCAAAGGUGCUUUCCUUAACCCCCCUCACCUAGUUCAUCCAUCCCCCGGCCCCCUCC